AGUGAAAAAUGAACUGGUUCGGAAUUGCACAACGGGGUCAUGGUAACCCCGGACAGCCUCGAACAUUCUUUUGACAUUCCUCCUUGCACUGCGGCAAAUUCCCGGUGGAAGAGUAACGGAACCAGUCCAAAUGACGCAGUGCCCGUUAUUCUUCCAACGGGAAUAACUAAUUUCCCGCAGUGCAAAGGUAUAAAAACCCGCUGGCAACCCCACGAUCGGCCAUUUGUAUGUCAUUCAACAGCGAAGUGCGGAACAACCGGAAAAAAAUGAAACAUAUAUUUUCAUUCAGCCGGUUAAAGUGAAGCGGUGAAAAAAUAAAACAAUUUCAAUUAAAAUUAAAAAGAAAAGUGUCUAAAAAGAACAGUUAAAUCGCUCUAACGCGAUAAAGUGGAAAAAAGGAAAAUAAAUUUAAAACAAUAGAAAAACUAAAAACGAAAACAAAUUUUUUUCUGCUAAAACGUGCCAGUGCAGGAAGCGGGUAGUUUUUGAGCAGCUAAGGCGCAUCCCGUAUCCGUGCACCAUCGGGACAACGACACCUUUACCUCAACAGCGGCAAGCUGCGAGAACGAGCUCGCAGUUGCAUUUUGCUCGCCCGUCAGAAGCGCCCAGAGGAACCAGCGUGCUCCACAGUUGCGCGUCAGCGCCCCCAAGCCCGACCGACGCACUACUAUUGUGCGCCGGAAGCUCCAUCGCACUCCACGCUCCCUCCGCAACAGCAGCACCACGGCAACACCAAGGAAACCAAUCUGGCGCUCCAGCAGCACACACAUCCAUUUGUCCGCAACCGCAGGGUGGUAAAUACAGCGCACAGUCCUCUAUCUGCUAACACUGGAUUAGGUACUGCCCCAGUCCGCACACCGCCCAGCACGGUAUCCACGACGCCGCCACAGUAGCGGCUACUGUAACAGCGCACACGUAACACGCGCUAUAGGAAGCAGCAAGAACCGCCACAGUAGCGAGUACAGCAGCGCGCUACAGCGACAAAUAAAACGCGCAACAACGUGCGCAGGCAACAACAUCCGCCACAGCAGCGGGUGCAACAACGCGCGGAAGCAACACCGCACCAUCGACAACAACAACCGCCACAGCAGGGUGCAACAACGCGCGACUACAGCAGCGCGCUACAGCGACAACUAAAACGCGCAACAACGUGCGCAGGCAACAACAUCCGCCACAGCAGCGGGUGCAACAACGCGCAGAAGCAACACCGCGCCAUCGACAACAACAUCCGCCACAGCAGGGUGCAACAACGCGCGACUACAGCAGCGCGCUACAGCGACAACUAAAACGCGCAACAACGUGCGCAGGCAACAACAUCCGCCACAGCAGCGGGUGCAACAACGCGCGGAAGCAACACCGCGCCAUCGACAACAACAACCGCCACAGCAGGGUGCAACAACGCGCGACUACAGCAGCGCGCUACAGCGACAAAUAAAACGCGCAACAACGUGCGCAGGCAACAACAUCCGACACAGCAGCGGGCGCAACAACGCGCGGAAGCAACACCGAGCCAUCCACAACAACAACCGCCACAGCAGCGGGUGCAACAAUGCCCGCCACAGCAGCGUGGACAACAGCGCGCAACACCAACAACAACAGCGCACAACGCUAACAGAAGCAGCGCUCAACACGAGCAACAACAGCGCACAACCCCAGCGACUACAACAACAGCAGGCCACACCCAAGCCUGCUGCAACAAGGGUGAGUCCUUCGGGCCCAAACAUAAUCU